UUCAGGUCUGGAGAUUGGGCUGGCCAUGACAGGGUCCUGAUCUGGUGGUGGAGAGAACGAGCCAUGCGGUCCGCCUGAGGGACAAAGGAGAGACGUGGUACCAUUGGAGCCAGUGUACACCAACGCAGGAGCCAGGAAGGUCGCUAACGGACCUCAUCCAAACCGGGAAGGAGGAGCUUUCCCCAGCGGGGACGGAAGAAGGACCAACACCAGCCGGACCGGUGCCAGGAGCGGACCCCAGGACACGGCGGGACUACGAGCGAGUGAAGGAGACAGAGGACGGCGUCAGGGGAAUAGACUCUUAGGGGAAAGAAUUGAAGAAUACUGUAACAAAAGGGGGUAUAGGACACCGAGUGGCUACCACUCGUACCAAGAUGACAGGGUUACAGAGAAAUGUCUGAGGAGAUGAUAGUAGAAUGAAGUGGUACAUGGACAUUGGUGGAAUAAUGAUGUGUGUUGUAUGUAGUUACAGGUUUCCCAGGUUGGCAUUGGGUCUUCAUUCCCCCAGCGAAGAGGUUCGCGACCCCACCUGAGGACACCCGUUUGAGGAAAUUUGGGGGAUUGAAUUGGACUAUGUCAAGGGGUCGCAUACGAGCAUUCUGGGAUAAGAUAAUCCGCUGAAGGAAUGGAUGAUCUCGAUGUUCGGCCAGUGGAGAGGUUUGAUAAUGUCUGUUCUUUUAUCGCUUUCUACAUUUGGUGCUAUAAUGGUUACUUGUGUGUGUUGUUGUAUCCCAUGCAUAAGAGGGCUUGCCAUGAGAGGGAUCUCUACAGCCAUUGAGGAGGCUCCAGGACCGCCACCAGGGAUGCUGAUGCCUCUACUGGAGCAGCAUGACCCGGGAGAACUGGAACUUGGCGAAUAGGGGUGAUCUCUCUGGGGAGAGAUUAAAAGGGGGAAUUGUAGAUGUAUUGAUUGUAUAAGUUAGUGAACUGUUAUAAGCUGUUGUAACCAAUGAAGCAGAAUAUUAAUUGUUUGUAAUAUGAGCUGAAACUGAAGGAGCAAGUAGGAGAAUAGGAAACCCUGUUCAAGCGGUUGCCGGGGAGAGAAAGAUUUAGUAUGUCUGUCUUUUGAGAAACAGGACACAGG
ensembl:lncRNA